rnacentral:rRNA from 1 species
GACGAACGCUGGCGGCGUGCCUAAUACAUGCAAGUUGAGCGCUGAAGGUUGGUACUUGUACCGACUGGAUGAGCAGCGAACGGGUGAGUAACGCGUGGGGAAUCUGCCUUUGAGCGGGGGACAACAUUUGGAGACGAAUGCUAAUACCGCAUAAAAACUUUAAACACAAGUUUUAAGUUUGAAAGAUGCAAUUGCAUCACUCAAAGAUGAUCCCGCGUUGUAUUAGCUAGUUGGUGAGGUAAAGGCUCACCAAGGCGAUGAUACAUAGCCGACCUGAGAGGGUGAUCGGCCACAUUGGGACUGAGACACGGCCCAAACUCCUACGGGAGGCAGCAGUAGGGAAUCUUCGGCAAUGGACGAAAGUCUGACCGAGCAACGCCGCGUGAGUGAAGAAGGUUGUCGGAUCGUAAAACUCUGUUGGUAGAGAAGAACGUUGGUGAGAGUGGAAAGCUCAUCAAGUGACGGUAACUACCCAGAAAGGGACGGCUAACUACGUG